rnacentral:lncRNA from 1 species
GGUUUACUAACGGGAGAUGUGAUGAAUUUCAGCAGCAAUACUUGGAAUAUAAAGAAGAAGUGAAGCAAUUAUGAUACCUAUUAUUUUUUAUAAUGACAGAAGGAACGUGGAAGAAAAAACAUUUUGUGCAGCAUGUGAAAACAAGGAAAUAGAAUGAAAGAAGGACUGCUACUUUUCAUGCGCCCGAAACCAGCCACCUCAUCAUCAUAGCAUGUUGCAUUGGAGCUCUGCUGGAGUUUGCUGAUGACAGGAUGCUGAAGGGCUGAAGCUGGUAGCUCUGGCAGGAGUCCAGUGUCCACCAGCUCAAGAUCCGACGCCGCCGCGUCGCCGCCGUGCGGCACUCCGCGGAGACGGGGACGGCGGUCAUGAUUGAAGACACCGCAUUUCCCGCCUGGACUGUCCGGUCGGAGACUGAUAAUCCCUCCGGUGAGCCGCACACCGUGGAGCUACUGCACCGCGCGUGUCCACCCGCAGUGCAGUGCCAGCAACGGUGCCGUGAGUGCGACAUCUGCGUGCAUAUGACGCAGUGCGACUGUCACGACUCGCGGCUCAGUGUUAACUGUCAGUGUGACAGUGCGGCUCGCGCUCGUUUUAGCGAGGUGCUCUGUUGUAUAUAACCACCUUGAUGGAGACCUAUGUGCUGCCGCUUGAGUUUCAAUGUACAGUUUAUGCAUCAAACUAGCGUAAGUAAAUGGCUGUCAGAGGUCAAUUUGAAGCGCAAUUAGUACCCAUAACCCAGCUGGGUUGACCGUGUCAUGUGACUAGUCCCGAUGAACGUACUGUUUCGAUGUCGUCAGUCGUAGACUUUUGUAAACCAUUCGUUUCGGAGCUCUGUGUUGUGUUGUUCGGGAUCGCAGUUGUUUGAGCAGUAUGCUUUAUGCGUCGUACGCUGACAGAACGCUGGUCGUACACAAGUCAUGUGUUUCCUUUCGCCCCUAAUGGGUUACUGCACGGUACCUAUGCAGUUGGAAUGUAUCUCGAGACACUAACUGGUCGCACUUGGUUGUGAAAAUGACACUAGCUGGUCGCACUUGGUUUCAAGCUGCGCUUGGAAAUGGUGCAAUAUUAUUUGCAUUUUGCAAUGCAAUUUUAUUGCCGUAACCGUAUUGGUAGAUAGUGUCAGAAGUUGGCCAUUUGAUGCGUUGUCACUUGUCAGACGCUGUUGCCUUAGUACUGACAAAUUGAUGGGCCGCGUUUGUGUUCCUGUUAAGAAACGGAUCUCAAUAUAAGGUGAUUCAGAGGUAGGAACCUGAAUGCA